rnacentral:misc_RNA from 1 species
GCGAGUUUUGAAACGAGUUGUAGCUGGCCUUCCGAGGCAUGUGCACGCUCUGCUCAUCCACUCUACCCUGUGCACUUACUGUAGGUUGGCGUGGGCUCCUUAACGGGGGCAUUCUGCCGGCCUAUGUAUACUACAAACACUUUAAAGUAUCAGAAUGUAAACGCGUCUAACGCAUCUAUAAUACAACUUUUAGCAACGG